UUAGGUUAACAAAUUGCUUUGGAGUAUUCACAUUCUCGAUAAACAUAUAUAUUGUAUGGAUUUCAUUCUAAGUGAUGUAAAGUAUAUUAAUAUACUAAAGAAGACUUACCAAAGAGACUCUUUACUACCUAUGCCAAUAUUAUUUCAAGUCAGUAAUCUCUACAAUAUUAUUUGAUAAGUCAUAAUAAUCUAUAUGUCAAUCUCAUGUUAAUUUUAAAACACUACAAGAAAAAUGAGUUUUGAUAGCAGUAGAGGAUAGCAUUUUUUCGCUUUCUGCUAUGGUUGACAUACCCGUUAGUUUUAGAUAGCUUUUUUUUUUUUAGAAACGCUAUGAUAGAGCAGCAUAAUUGGAAACGCUAUGAUAGCAGAUGGUUUUAUAUGUAACACUUAUGUUUAAUAGCAAAACAUAGUUAAAAACGUUAUGUUUGGUAUUUUAAAUCCCUAAACCCUAAACAAUUUUUUAAACUCUAAACACAAACUUUUAAACUCUACUAUUUUAACAUCAUAUCUUAAAUUAAACUUCAAUUCUUAAAUAUAAACUUAAAAUUAAUAUUUUUCAAAAAUUCAUCUCAAGUCUAAAUCAAUACCCUAAACCUCUAACCCUCAAACCAUAUACUCAAUCUUUUAUUUUAAACUCCAAACUUCAAAUCUAAUAUUUUCAAACUUAAUACAUCAAAUAUCAUAGUUAUAAAUCAUAACACUUAUUAAAUUCAUUUACAUAUAUACUUUACACUAAUUAUAUAUAAAUCUUAAAUUUAUUUACAUUUGUACUAUACAUACCCUAAACUCUCACAAAAAAAAAUCUGAUUGGCUAGUCAUUUUCGUCUGUUAGAUUGGAUUCAAUCCAAUGGACAAGAUCUUUCCCUUCUCAUUUUAUCAGUCUUAUUUCUCAUUGGAUGAUAAAUGUUGGCGAGGAUAACCAACUUUUAAUCUCUACCAUUGAUAAAAUCUUAUCCAAUGGUGAGGCUAUCAAGAGUUUUUUCUCUCUAUCUCUCUCAUCUCUCACAAUCUCCACCUCUCUCAACCUCUGUAUCUCUCAAUCCAGUCGCCAUGUCUCUCAAUCUCUCUCAAUCUCCAUCUCUCGUAACCUCUAUGUCUCCAAAGGAGAAGAAGUAGUGGAUAACGAAGGAAUGGAUUCGGAGCGGGACUAGCUACGCCGGAUUCUGUAGGCGGAGGAAGACGGUGGGACGAUGACAUGGUAAAGAGAAGUGGUGGUGUGAGAAGAUGAUGAAACGGGAAAGAGAAGUGGUGGAGGAUGGAGGAGGACAGCAGAUGGCAUAGCUAACAGCGUGGUUUGAAGCGUCGAUGCGAAGGAGUUCGUGAUGGUGGUUGUUAGAUCCGGUGAAGGAGGUGGCUGGUGUAAACAAACAGACGAGGCGGAGGCGGAAAGGUGGAGGCACGAGGAGUUAGGUUUCUUUUUAGGUUUUGCUUUGUAGGUUUAUUUUUUUGGUUUACAUUAAACCAAUUUUGAUUUAUUUUUAUAUGUGAACCAGUUUUAAUUAUGAAUAAUUUGUAAUUCAAUUUCAUUUAUAAUUUAAUUUUAAUAUAUAUAUCAGUUUUAAUUAAA